rfam:Rattus norvegicus chromosome 16, whole genome shotgun sequence.
GGGGAUAUAGCUCAGUGGUAGAGCGCUUGCCUAGGAAGCGCAAGGCCCUGGGUUCGGUCCCCAGCUCCG